UGAUGGUUCAUCUAUUGGAAAAACACAAAUCAGCUGUCAAAAGGCCUUUAUUUGUGCAAUAGUUCAGAUUACAGCACCAUUGGGCAACCCCUGUGAAGGAUCAUUCACUUUAACUUUCUGAGAUGCUGGUAUUUCAUCACUUUUGUUGAGGUUCCAUGUGGUUUGGUUCUCUGGAACUAACAAUGGCCCCUGACCAGAACUAGGUCUGCUUCUGAUUCAAAUAAGCAGAGUGAAAGAAAGGCUUUCUUCUCAGAGCACCUGGGCAGUGCCGUAUGCCAAGAGGCCAUGGAGGACAAUGGUGAAGCAUGGGGAUUCCAGGGCAAGCUCUGGAGAAUCUGAGUCAGUGAGGAACACCCUGGAGAAUCUGAAAAAGUCUGCAAUGCUGAGAUGUGAUAGGCUUUAACACCCGACAAAGAACUAGAAAGCAUCUUGCCAUCCUUCAAAACUCACUUUUGCGACUUAAUUGCUCUCUGCUCAGUGUUUCCAUAACGCUUUGUCUAACACUGAGCUUCUAAUGUACUGAGUUCGUCUACAAGUCUCCCUCGUCUUCUAGACUUUGAGCUCCUCAAAGGCAAGGACUGGGACUUAUUUAUUUUUGCAUCCAUUGCCUGUAUUUUUGCAUCCAAUGCCUGUAACCUGAUAGCUCUAUAAAUGUUUGUUGACUGAUGAAUGAUAUCUUACUUAAAUGUUUAUGCUCAGGCUGACACUGAGAGCCAAAUCAGAGAGGCAGAAAAUUAUAAUGCAGCCAGUUCCCUAGGAGUUUAAUUAAGUCUGAAUAGAAAUCAUCACCAGUUGGAUUUGGGAACAAGACUAGGAGGCAAAAGCUAAUAAGAUUGAGACCUGAUAACCUAGUUGAAUAUUGAAAAAGGACAAAAUCCUAUUUGCCUCUGUUGAUUAGUUAACAGUGAUGAGAUUGGUAAACUCCUGGGAAAGACCCAGUGUUCUCUGGGUACGUACCAAGCUACUGCAGGGAAGCAUGUCGCCAGCAAGUGGUGCUGUGGAAUUGGGGUGAAGGUCAUUCAGCCUAUUCAGCUUCAGUAACACCAGAGCCUACAGGGCACAUAGAUGGCCUAAUCCAUCUAUGGAUUAGGUGUUUUGAUGUCAAUAUUUGGAUUUUUUCUUCUUAACAAUAUGCUAGAUUUAAUAAAUGGUUUUAUUUAUUUA